AAGGUUCGCUGAACACACUAAAUAUACUUUUUGUUCGUGCAUCUUUUAUUAUGCGCAUGAAAGUAACUUUGCCUGAUCACAGCGCCGUUAGCAAGUUUUUUCGGAUUAUAUAUACGCUUUCAAGAAUAAGUAGGGAAGGCGUUAUGCGAUUCAGCAGAGAGAAAUUAUAUUUUAUUUUGCACGCCCGAGAUAUUGCAGACGGCCAAGUUAAAAUCUGGUCGGAGAUGGAAACGAAAGUUAUUUUUUGCGAUGUCCUUCUGGAGAGUAAGCAUCCAAAUAACGAAAUUCUGUUUAAAUUUAAUUUUGAGAUGCUGCUGAGAGCACUUCGCACUUCUCUGACGAAUUGCGUUUCCCUUGUUAUGCGUCUAAGUAAACGUCAACAGCAGCCGUACAUUUCUUUGAUCAUC